CCUACGGGGAGCAGCAGUGAGGAAUAUUGGUCAAUGGACGCAAGUCUGAACCAGCCAUGCCGCGUGCAGGAAGACGGCUCUAUGAGUUGUACACUGCUUUUGUACGAGGGUAAACGCAGAUACGCGUAUCUGUCUGAAAGUAUCGUACGAAUAAGGAUCGGCUAACUCCGUGCCAGCAGCCGCGGUAAUACGGAGGAUUCAAGCGUUAUCCGGAUUUAUUGGGUUUAAAGGGUGCGUAGGCGGUCGGAUAAGUUAGAGGUGAAAUCCCGAGGCUCAACCUCGGAAUUGCCUCUGAUACUGUUCGGCUAGAGAGUAGUUGCGGUAGGCGGAAUGUAUGGUGUAGCGGUGAAAUGCUUAGAGAUCAUACAGAACACCGAUUGCGAAGGCAGCUUACCAAGCUACUUCUGACGUUGAGGCACGAAAGCGUGGGGAGCAAACAGGAUUAGAUACCCGAGUAGUC
rnacentral:rRNA from 1 species